GGUCAUAGUGAUCCGGUGGUUCUGAAUGGAAGGGCCAUCGCUCAACGGAUAAAAGGUACUCCGGGGAUAACAGGCUGAUACCGCCCAAGAGUUCAUAUCGACGGCGGUGUUUGGCACCUCGAUGUCGGCUCAUCACAUCCUGGGGCUGAAGUAGGUCCCAAGGGUAUGGCUGUUCGCCAUUUAAAGUGGUACGCGAGCUGGGUUUAGAACGUCGUGAGACAGUUCGGUCCCUAUCUGCCGUGGGCGCUGGAGAACUGAGGGGGGCUGCUCCUAGUACGAGAGGACCGGAGUGGACGCAUCACUGGUGUUCGGGUUGUCAUGCCAAUGGCACUGCCCGGUAGCUAAAUGCGGAAGAGAUAAGUGCUGAAAGCAUCUAAGCACGAAACUUGCCCCGAGAUGAGUUCUCCCUGAGACUUAGAGUCUCCUGAAGGAACGUUGAAGACGACGACGUUGAUAGGCCGGGUGUGUAAGCGCAGCGAUGCGUUGAGCUAACCGGUACUAAUGAACCGUGAGGCUUAACCUUACAACGCCGAAG
rnacentral:rRNA from 2 species